rnacentral:rRNA from 1 species
UACGUAGGGCGCGAGCGUUGUCCGGAAUUAUUGGGCGUAAAGAGCUCGUAGGCGGCCGGUUGCGUCUGCUGUGAAAUCCCGGGGCUUAACCCCGGGCGUGCAGUGGAUACGGGCCGGCUGGAGGCAGGCAGGGGAGAAUGGAAUUCCCGGUGUAGCGGUGAAAUGCGCAGAUAUCGGGAGGAACACCGGUGGCGAAGGCGGCUUUCUGGUCUGUAACUGACGCUGAGGCGCGAAAGCGUGGGGAGCAAACAGG